GCGGAGGAAAAGAAACUAACUAGGAUUCCCCCAGUAGCGGCGAGCGAAGCGGGAAAAGCCCAAAAUGAAAAGCCUGCUUGCAGGCGUUGUACUUUGAGCGUUCUUGGGGUGUCAGUGUGGGCAAGUUGCAUGAAAAUGCACGCCGUGGAGGGUGAUAGCCCCGUCCAACCUACACAGGACACGCCGUACCGGAACGUCUCUGACGAGUCGGGUAGCUUGGGAAUGCUGCUCUAAUUGGUGGUAAAUCUCAUCAAAGGCUAAAUACUGGCUGGAGACCGAUAGCGAACAAGUACCGUGAGGGAAAGAUGAAAAGCACUUUGAAAAGAGGGUGAAAAGAACCUGAAACCGUCACGGGGGAAGCGGAUUGCGUUGGCCUGGUGGGCGCUUGUGUGUUCAGCCUUUGGGUGUAUUGGCACAAGUGCUUAUCCGUCGUGGGUUUUCGGGGGUUGAUGUUGAAUCCCUGGAGGCUGAGGGCUCCCUUCGGGUGAGGACGACGGAGUGACGACGCGAUACGACCCGUCUUGAAACACGGACCAAGGAGUCUAGCGCGGUUGCGAGUCAGAGGGUGCAAGCCCGUGGGCGAAGUGAAAGCAAAGUUUGAAAACUAGCAGUUUGAGGCGGCAUAAGAUCGUUGAUCUUAAGACUGACCUAGAGCAGUUGCGCUGGGACCCGAAAGAUGGUGAACUAUGCCGGAGUAGGGCAAAGCCAGAGGAAACUCUGGUGGAGGCUCGUAGCGGUGCUGACGUGCAAAUCGCUCGUCCAACUUGGGUAUAGGGGCGAAAGACUAAUCGAACCAUCUAGUAGCUGGUUCCCUCCGAAGUUUCUCUCAGGAUAGCGGGCCGACAAGUUGUUUUGUGCGGUAAAGCGAAUGAUUAGCGUAUUUGGGGACAUUUAGUCUUCGGGCGAUUCUCAAACUUUAAAUGCGCAAGGGUGUCGCUGCUUUGGUGAGCGGCACCGGUAAAAACGUCGGCCCUGUGGGCCACUUUUGGUAAGCAGAACUGGCGAUACGGGAUGAACCGUAAGCAUGGUUAAGGCGCCAGACUGCCCGCUUAUAGAUCCCAAAAAAGGUGUUGAUUCAUCGAGACAGCAGGACGGUGGCCAUGGAAGUCGGAAUCCGCCAAGGAGUGUGUAACAACUCACCUGCCGAAUGAAUUAGCCCUGAAAAUGGAUGGCGCUGAAGCGGGCGGCCGACACCAUGCCGUCUGGAAAAGACUUUCAGAUGAGUAGGAGGGCGUGGGGGUCGUGUCGAAGCAUGCGUGCAGACGCGUGUGGAACGGCCUCUAGUGCAGAUCUUGGUGGUAGUAGCAAGUAUUCAAGCGAGAUCCUUGAAGGGCGAAGCGGGGAAGGGUUCCACGCGAACAUUGAUUGGGCGUGGGUGAGUCGUUCCUAAGCCGAGUGGCGAUUGCUAAGUAGCGGCGAAAGGGAAGCGGGUUGACAUUCCCGCACACGGAUGUGGAGGCGGUGACGCAUUAUUGGGGCGAACACGCUGGCGACGGCGCUGGGCAGAGUUGUCUUUUCUGUUUGACCGUGUUGUGCGCGCGGUGUGGAAUCCGCUUGUCGGGAGAAACACGCGUGUACGGGCAGAGCGCCGGGGCUUUUCCGGCGUCCAGCUCGCCGUCGACGGCCCUUGAAACUUUGCCUGCUGAUAUAGAUCCACGCCGUGGCGUACCGAUCACCGCAUCAGGUCCCCGAGGUGAACAGCCUCUGCUCGAUAUGAAAAAUGCAGGUAAGGGAAGUCGGCAAAUUAGACCCGUAACUUUGGGAAAAGGGUUGGCUCUAGUGCUGCGUGGGAGUGGUUGUCGGAUGUUGGCGUUUCUGGCCUGGCGGCUUGGCGCGGGCGCCUCACGGUGCUUGCUCCGGGCUGCUGUGCUGGUUGCUCCACGGCCGACGACGCCCACAGCAUGCAGCAGACUAGAACUGCAACGGGCAAAGGGAAUCCGACUGUUUAAUUAAAACAAAGCAUUGCGAGGGCCGAGGCCGGUGAUGACGCAAU
rnacentral:rRNA from 1 species